rnacentral:lncRNA from 1 species
GAAUUAAUUGAGCUCUCUAAACUAGUUAACAAUCAUAGAAAGGUGAUAUAUAUGCCCCAUUGCAUGUAUUAGAGUAAUGAAGUAGUUGUUCUUUAUAUAAUCGGCCCAUGUGAGAUGGUGGCCCCAUGAAAACUAUAAAAUGAAUUCCACAAAGACUUGCUUUAAAUUUCUUAAUUAUAUAUACACCUUGCAACUUUCAACAACACUUCCUAAUUAUUGAUCUUUCCACAUGAAAUUGUUUUGUUAUGAGACAUCUCCCCACCCACAUCCCAUCCCACCCACAUGAUAUUAAUGUGACCUAUAAUUGUUGGGACAAUGGCCCUAAAUUAUGAGUUGUAUAAUUUAAGAGAAAAUUAAGUAAUAAUUAAAAGCCAAAGGGCGCUCUAUGAGGAAUGCCUUUUCUUCUUCUUGCACUAGAAGGAGGCGUAUGUGGGCAUAGAUUUUGUUGUAUGCCUUCACGAAAUUCUU